rnacentral:tRNA from 1 species
AUUUAUAUAAUAUAUAUAGUAUAUUUGACUUCCAAUCAAAAGGAUUAACAAUUUUAAUAUAAAUAA